GACGAACGCUGGCGGCGUGCUUAACACAUGCAAGUCCAACGGAAAGGCCUGCUUUCCCUUGUGGAUUGCGGGUACUCGAGUGGCGAACGGGUGAGUAACACGUGAGUGAUCUGCCCCCAACUUGGGUAUAAGCCUGGGAAACUGGGUCUAAUUCCCGAUAGGACUGCAGGGUGGUUCCUGUGUUGGAAUACGAUUUUCUAGUGGGUGGGGAUGAGCUCGCGGCCUAUCAGCUUGUUGGUGGGGUAAUGGCCUACCAAGGCGGCGACGGGUAGCCAGACUGUGAGGGUGGACGGGCAAAUUGGGACUGGGAUCCGGCCCAGACUGGUACGAGCGGCAGCAGUGGUGGAUAUUGCAGCAUAGGCGGGAGCCUGAUGCGGCGACGCCGUGUAGGGGAUGACGGGAUUCGGGUUGUAAUCUCCUUUCGAGCGCGAGGAAGCCACCUGGUUGGAAGGGUGGUGACGGUAGUGGUAGAAGAAGCACCGGCUAACUACGUG
rnacentral:rRNA from 1 species